AUUGUAGAAUCCCGUGAACUAUCGAGUCUUUGAACGCAAGUUGCGCCCAAAGCCACUAGGUUGAGGGCAAGUCUGCCUGGGCAUCACGCAAUGUCGCUAGCACCCCAGCUCGGGCAUAGUGGAUGAUGGUCUCCCGCAAGCCUCACCUCCCGGCUGGUCAAAACUGGGCAUUCCCCUUGUUACGAGCGCCGCUAUCCACGAUGGAUGAGUUAGCACAACGCGGUCGAGAACAAACACGCGCGCCGUCACUGGGGCUGGGCCAAUGGAAUAAGGGAUGCCAUGAGGGGUUCCCUCGCCCCUGAAGGCAACCCUAGGUCAGGCGGGGCUACCCGUUGAGUUUAAGCAUAUCAAUAAGUGAAGGACAAGAAACUUAUGAGGAUUCCCCUAGUAACAACGAGCGAAUUGGGAAGAGCCC
rnacentral:rRNA from 1 species